UCAAUUUCAAAGCAAAGAAAAUCCAAUUUCAUCCAAGACAAUAAACAAAUUAGUACAAAUGAGAGAUCAAAGAUACUUUGAAGAGAAGAAAUCAAUAAGCUUCCAAUAACUUGUUGUUUAGCACCAAUAAAAGUGUGAAAUCUUGAAACGCGCCUUGUCGCUCGGAGCCCAUUUAUUUGCCAGAGGCCAAUGAUAUAUCCUAGCAUAUAAUGUCAUGGGUGCCUUUAAACUGCAGCAGAUGGUCAAUAUGCAUUGCCAGCUCUCAUUUAGAGGUUCAAGAGAAUACAAAAUUUCAUAUUUUGGGCACAAAAUAAGUACUUUUGACUAUUUUUAUGGUGGCAA